UGUGACAUACCUUAAUGUUGCCUCGGCGGAUCAGCCCGCGCCCCGUAAAACGGGACGGCCCGCCAGAGGACCCAAACUCUAAUGUUUCUUAUUGUAACUUCUGAGUAAAACAAACAAAUAAAUCAAAACUUUCAACAACGGAUCUCUUGGUUCUGGCAUCGAUGAAGAACGCAGCAAAAUGCGAUAAGUAAUGUGAAUUGCAGAAUUCAGUGAAUCAUCGAAUCUUUGAACGCACAUUGCGCCCGCUGGUAUUCCGGCGGGCAUGCCUGUUCGAGCGUCAUUUCAACCCUCAAGCCCCCGGGUUUGGUGUUGGGGAUCGGCUCUGCCUUCUGGCGGUGCCGCCCCCGAAAUACAUUGGCGGUCUCGCUGCAGCCUCCAUUGCGUAGUAGCUAACACCUCGCAACUGGAACGCGGCGCGGCCAUGCCGUAAAACCCCAACUUCUGAAUGUUGACCUCGGAUCAGGUAGGAAUACCCGCUGAACUUAAGCAUAUCAAUAAGACGGAGGAAA
rnacentral:rRNA from 1 species